rnacentral:lncRNA from 1 species
UAUGGGUAUGUUCUUAAGUUUGAAAAAUGGACAUAUUGUAUGGCUGUCAGUAAAUUAAUUACCAGUCUGAGGAGGUGAAAUGAACGUUAUAACUUAGAAAGUUAAGGACAUUUCCCAGUCUUUUAGAGCAUGAGUUCCUCCCUCUAGAUCUUGCAAAAAAGGGGAAAGGAAAAAUUCACAGCUUUUGUUAACCAAAAUCUCUAGGCUUGGGGGUAAAAGCUUCCUUCCGCUCCUUCUGUACUGCCACUGCAACUGCCCUGGAAAAGCUUUGCCACCCUGAGGUUGCCUCAGUAGACCACUUUUAUUACUAUUAUUACUUUUAUUUUAUAUUGUUUUUACUCUUUUUUUUUUUGUUGUCCUUGAUCAGUCUCUCUGGUUCUGCCCAAUUAAUCUGGUGUUUCAGGUGAAUCAGACAAUGAAAAUUGAACUGAAAUCCAGGAUUAUCUUACGAUUAGCAGUGCCUAUUGUGCUUCCAGGUUGGCUUUUAGAUCAGAACUUCGAGCUAGACUUCUUCCUUAGGAAUCAAUGUACAAGAAUAUGUGCUUGCAUGGCAGCAUGAGAGAGGAAUUAAAGGGAGAAUUGGGAUCUUGAAGAAGCAAAAGCUCUACUUCAGUAAGGUGAAAAGUAUGGUCAAAAAGAAGGAAAGAAGCUGAUCACGCUUGUUUGGAGAAAUUAGAGAAAGCCACUUUCAUGGGGCUGGUUCUGAGUAGGCAGCAGACAACCCAGAAAUAUAUAAAUGCUGUUCACAACAUGUCCCAGGCACACUGCUUUUUGCAAGGCCAGAGCGAAAAAAUUUCUAUGAUUGAGAAGAACUCUAAUUAUAUGGAUAAAAAUGAGCAAGAUCUCCCCAUUAGUCCCACAAAGAAGCAUAAUAGCACUUGAAGAUGAAUGAAGAUGAGUAAUUGGGUGAUAAUAUUGGAUUUGCAACAAUGUCCCUUUGAUUAGAUGACGCGUAGAAACGUGCUUGGGUGGGCGUAAUGUGUAGACACUCAGGGGGAGGGAUUGCUGGGUAGCAACAAUGUCCCUCAUCCUAAAUGAUAGAAAGACUCAACACUUUGUGUUGGGUUGGGUUGGCUGUGAUUAAGAUAUGAUUAAAGUUUUCCUCUAAGUUUUCUCAUCCUUAUUUUCUUGCUUGGAACUGGUGUAGACCUACUUAAAAAGUGUUGUUGGUUUUUGGAACUGUACCCAUGGUUGCAGGAUUGUUCAGUGUUGAAGCUUAUUUAAGCUCCAAGCCAUGAAAUCAAAGAAACAAUUCUGGAAUUAAUUUGAGCUGAGUUUUCUGCGCUUGUGAUUUAAGUAGUUCCUAUUAUGUGCAUGUUUUCUCCUAUUUUUUAGUUGGCUUUCAAUAGGCUGCUGAGUGCUG